rnacentral:rRNA from 1 species
GACGAACGCUGGCGGCGUGCUUAACACAUGCAAGUCGAACGGAAAGGCCGUGCUUGUGUGGGGUGCUCGAGUGGCGAACGGGUGAGUAACACGUGAGUAACCUGCCCUAGACUUUGGGAUAACUUCAGGAAACUAGGGCUAAUACCGGAUAGGAGCUCCCCUUGCAUGGUAGGGGUUGGAACGUUUCAGCGGUCGGGGUUGGACUCGCGGCUUAUGAGCUUGUUGGUGGGGUAGUGGCAUACCAAGGCAGUGAAGGUUACCCGGCAUGAGAGGGUGACCAGCCACAUUGGUACUGAGAUACGGACCAGCAUCGUACGCGAGACAGCAGUGGGGAAUAUGGAACAGUGGCAGGAAGCCUGAUGAAGCAACGUUGCGGGUGGGAAGACGGCAUUCGGGUUGUGAACAGCAUACGCCUGUGACGAAGCGUGAGUGACGGUAAUGGGUAAAGAAGCACCGGCUAACUACGUG